AUAACGGUCCUAAGGUAGCGAAAUUCCUUGUCGGGUAAGUUCCGACCCGCACGAAUGGUGUAACGAUCUGGGCACUGUCUCAACUACCCACCCGGCGAAAUUGUAGUACCGGUGAAGAUGCCGGUUACCUGCGGCAAGACGGAAAGACCCCAUGGAGCUUUACUGUAGCCUGAUAUUGGGUUUCGGAAAUCUAUGUACAGGAUAGGCGGGAGACUAGGAAACAUGAGCGUCAGCUUGUGUGGAGUCGAUGUUGGGAUACCGCCCUUAGGUUUCUGGAAUUCUAACCUGCGGCCGUGAAUCCGGUCGGGGGACAUUGUCAGGUGGGCAGUUUGACUGGGGCGGUCGCCUCCGAAAAGGUAACGGAGGCGCUCAAAGGUUAGCUCAGCACGGACGGAAACCGUGCCUCUGAGUGUAAACGCAAAAGCUAGCCUAACUGCGAGGGUGACGGCCCGAGCAGUAACGAAAGUUGGAGUUAGUGAUCCGGCGGUAUGUGAAUGGAAAUGCCGUCGCUCAACGGAUAAAAGCUACCCUGGGGAUAACAGGCUGAUCUCCCCCAAGAGUCCACAUCGACGGGGAGGUUUGGCACCUCGAUGUCGGCUCAUCGCAUCCUGGGGCUGUAUUCGGUCCCAAGGGUUUGGCUGUUCGCCAAUUAAAGCGGUACGCGAGCUGGGUUCAGAACGUCGUGAGACAGUUCGGUCCCUAUCUGUCGUGGGCGCAGGAUAUUUGAGGAGCUCUGUCCUUAGUACGAGAGGACCGGGAUGGACGUACCUCUGGUGCACCAGUUGUCACGCCAGUGGCACAGCUGGGCAGCUAUGUUCGGAUCGGAUAAACGCUGAAAGCAUCUAAGCGUGAAGCCGGCCUUAAGAUAAGAUAUCCCACUGAGAUAAUCAGGUAAGACCCCUUGAAGACUACAAGGUUGAUAGGCACAAUGUGUAAGUGGCGUGAGUCAUUGAGCAAGCGUGUACUAAUAGGUCGAGGGCUUGACCC
rnacentral:rRNA from 1 species